rnacentral:rRNA from 1 species
GACGAACGCUGGCGGCGUGCCUAAUACAUGCAAGUCGAACGCAGUGGGGACGGGUGAGUAACACGUGGGUAACCUCCCAUCAGAGGGGAUAACACUUGGAAACAGGUGCUAAACCGAUACUGAUGGAUGGACCCGCGGUGCAUUAGCUAGUUGGUGAGGUAACGGCUCACCAAGGCCACGAUGCAUAGCCGACCUGGGGGUGUGAGCGGCCAGACGGGGACGGAGACACGGACAAGACUGCGACGGGAAGCAGCAGUAGGGAAUCGUCGGCGAUGGACGAGAGGCUGACCGAGCGACGCCGCGUGAGUGAAGAAGGUUUGCGGAUCGUAAAACGCUGUUGUUAGAGAAGCGGUAUCUAACCAGAAAGCCACGGAUAACUACGUGCCAGCCGCGGUAAUAC